rnacentral:tRNA from 1 species
GGGCCCGUAGCUCAGCUGGUAACCUUUUUAUCCAAAAAGGUUAGCUUCCUGGGUCAGCAGAGAGCACCAGACUCUUAAUCUGGGUGUCGCGGGUUCGAAGCGAACCUUUUCCGGCAGCUUUCGCAUGCGCAAAAGCCUCGCCACCCAAAAGGUCCGUGAAAUUCCCGUCGGGCCCA